GCUUCAUAUCGCAGGAUUCCUGAGGAUUCUUGAUGCCCACGGGAUUCAGAAGAGGACACACAGGAAAGACCUGUGAAGAUCCUGUAACUGCGGAAGCCAGAUUCAGGAAAUGACAUUAAACAAUCGUGAAUCUUGAAUCUAGUGUUUGUGAAUUCAUGGACCGUUCAGAAAUCAAACAGCAGAGGGAAAGAAGCUGUUCCUAAAGAGAUUGAAGAAUUGUGAUCAAUCGAUGCCUAGGAUAGAUCUGCAAGUCAGAAUUCAGAGAUCCCCUGACAACAACGGCAUUCAAGUCCCCUGACAACAGCAACAAUCAAGUGGAGACUAAGAACUGUGAGCCCCGAAAUCUUUGUAACUUACUACGUAGCAUUUUGUGUGACUCAUUGUGCUUUCUAUUCUAUGAUAAUAAAUUAGGCUUAAGUUACUUUGUUGUGCGUGUACAUUUAUUACCACAUCUCCUGGACACACGAAUGGUCAAUCCAGCCCAUUACAAUCCUGCACCAUUCAAACACUCUGAGCAAGAUUAUUUGAGUUUCCUCAUCACCCACCUGCAGGCACAGACACCACCAAAGGAAAAUUAUUUGGAACAAAACUGCACAGUCUAUUAGAAAGGGUAGACGAGGACCUGAUGGUGAUAUUAGAAAUUGAUUCUGAACAAGGGAACAUCAGCUUUUAGUUGGUUCAUCAAGUUCACCGUGUCUGAUCUGCUCCUCUCUGUCUGCCCUUAGCACGCUCCACUGACAAAGAUGAUCAGUCUCAGGUUAGCUAUUUUCCAUGUCUCCAUGGGAGGAUCCAUGAAAUGAGUCAACUUCAGAUGAUACAAGUCUUCUAGACGAGGUAAUAAGUGGGAAAUCCUAUAGAGGUUUCAUAUUACUCGAUUCUUUGUGUUAUGUAGUGUGC